ACCACCACUUCCUCUCGGCGCAUGUUUCGUGCAGUCGGCAGAGCAGCAAGCCCUGAUCUCUUGUGACAGCUGCUCCCGAGGCUGCCUGUGCCGAGGAUCAUCAUCCGACUGGGCUGGGAGGAAGGCGAUCUUUAAGAGCUCCAUAGUUGUCACUGGGCAAUGGUGCUGGAAUGUGCGCAUGAAGCCAAGGUCAGGAAUCUGCUGGAAUCAGCCUAAAUAACUGGAUAAAGCACUAAGGAGAGUGAUUGAACGGGGAAUAAGGAAAGGAAACGCUUCUCUACUUUUCCUCUUUUGUGUCAUGAUCUUCCGUCUCAGGCAUUUAACCCCAGGGUACUUCCGCCUGCUGCAGAUGCAAUUGGCUAGUGGAUCGAAAUCAAAAUCUCAAGACCGGCUGUUGAAUCAUCUGGCGCUGCUGUUGGCCAUUAUGGGAUUAAGCCUGUCUUACUACAGUGCCCGGCAAAUGAGUGAAGAGGUUAAACCACCGGCGGAGCCGUGAUGUUUGGCUUUCAAGGAGUAAUCAGGAGCAACGGUGGUGGUGGCAGAAAGAUGAGAGGUCAAGGUGGGACUCCUGAAAUUCACUGUGUGGAUCAGGAGAUGUCCAUUAGGUAUACUCAGCAUGCACUUGUUUGGAUAGCUUGCAGCAGGGUUCCCGUGGUCCUUUCUUAUUCCAUGGCAGGUCACAGGCUUCCCCUUCCAGCAGCAUCCUCACUCUCUUCUCCCAGAUCCGCACUGAAAGGUUACAUCUAUCCAUUUCUCUGACAUGUUUCAUUAAAGUACAGUGGGGAUAACUGGGCGCAGGGUUUCACACCUCCUCCUUGGCCUUUUUCUGGUCUAGACUAAAGGCCAGUAUGGCUGCAGAGGAAGAGAGUAGGGGAAUUGACUUCAGUUUGUCUUGCCACUUUGCGCUGGGCAGGUAAGAAUCCCUUCUGGGUGACCAGGUAAUUUUGUACGUUGCAAGCAUGCAGCUAUUUGUUUUGGGGUAUUUUUGGUCAAUGUAGAAGAAAUACCCAGCAGCAAAAAGGGCAAGAAAAGGAAGGCAAACUGGUUAUCUUUUGCAAAUUAGUUCAACCUGACUAGUAUCCAUCUGCCCAAAGCUCAAAAAAUGAAAAUGCUCUAAAGUAUUUCUGCAUGACAAGCAGGAACAUGGAAUGGAUUUUUGAUAGGGCACUUUAGCAGCAUUCCAGUGAGAUCUGGAUAAGGCCCAACAGGAAAAACAAAAAUGAUGACUCAGCCAGCAUGAAAUGAACUAGUUGUUCCGUCUGUUGAGGCUCAUGGGCCUUCACGGCAUCUAAGCAGUAGCGAUUAAGCAGAAUCUCUUGUAGGUCACUGCCCUAGAGAAGGGUUCUGGAUGGGCAUGCCCACCUCUUUCCCGUCCAUUUUUUGACAAGAUAUGGGCAGUGACCGGAAGAUGCGGCGAGAGAAGACUGCUGGAAUGUGCUGCUGUCGAUGGUAAUUGGUUUCAUUACAGGCGGCUGAGUCUAUUCACCACCAACUCCCUCCUGCUCAGCGAAAAGCAGCAGACGAUGGUAGGCUGGAAGGAGGUUGCCGACUGCCUGUUAUAUAACAGCACAUGUGGCAAGACAGCUGUGACCUAAAUCAUUGCUUUUAAGCUUGCGAUUAGAAAGGCUGGGAGGAUUCUUUUUUAAGGAUGCUGGUGUUCUUCCAUUUUAAAAACUGGUCAGUGGUUGGGAAGAUUGUGAGGGUGGCAUGAUCCUCUUAAAGGGGGGGGGGCAAGCAAGUUAAUUAUACCCUCUUUAAGGGGCUUUCAGUCAAUUUAGUCAAGACUUCAAAGUAAAUUCGGCUCCAAAACCUCAGCAGAUGAGGCUCCUGCGAAGCAAAAAGACUAGGUAAGGAAGACCCUAGUCGGAAAAAUCCAUCCACCCUACCCCAACUCAUGCCAGUAAUGCAGGGGUGAACUGUGUUGCGCUGCGUGCAAUAAAUCUGAUUUUAAAAUCUU